CGCGUUCUCUCUUUCGCAUCCUGAUAAAAUACCAAGAUGGCCCGCCGCGUGGGCUUGGACGUGGAGUUAUUGAUAUCCGAAGUCGCAAAAAGGCCACCGCUCUGGAAUGUUAAGCUCGCGCAAUACAAAGAUAUAGACUUAAAACAUGUGCUUUGGCAAGAGGUGGCAAGAUGCGUACAAGGUGAAGUUGAUGUUGUUCAAAGGCGCUGGAAAUCACUAAGGGACAACUUCAGAAAGAAGUUCACAGAAAUAAAGCUCAAGAAACGCAGCGGCUGUGAGGUGCAGCCGCACGAAGACACAUGGCGCUAUUUUGGCCGGCUAUUUUUUUUGAAAGACGUAGCUAGCAGAAGAAGAAGCCUCACGAUGCUCCCUGCGCAGCAGCCACCGAUGGACAGCGAGGCAUCUGCUGAAACAGUGCCGUCGGUCAUUGAGUCAUCUUAUCAGGCACAUGACGACCACUCCGCGCUAUCAGAUUCCCCGUUCCUUGGUAGCAGAGACCACCCCGAGGCACCUUCGUCAUCACACUCACCAUUGCCCUUUCAAACCGAGUCCCCAUCUACAUCCCAUACCGUCCGCCCCGGUGUUUCCUUACUUCGCCAAGCACCUUGUAUCCCUCCACCCCACGAUACCGCAGUACAAUCCACAUCACCCGUAGCAACAUUCAGCAUUGCCUCUUCAUCAUCCUCUUCUAGUAACUACUCUGCUCAGCUUGGCCGAAAGCGGAGGCGAAGAAAUCACGAUGAUGAGGUGGCCAGCGGUUACCUUUCUCUGAUCAAACAAUGCCUCCGAGACAGGCCAGAUGAGCAUGAGCAGUUCGCAGGCAUGAUGUGCGAGGUCAUGAGGAGGUGCCCUCGUAAUCGUGUUAUGGACAUGCGAAUAGAGCUUUUGCAAGUUUUAAAGAAGUAUGAUCAAUAUUGAUUGU